AUUGAACGCUGGCGGCAUGCCUUACACAUGCAAGUCGAACGGCAGCACGGGAGCAAUCCUGGUGGCGAGUGGCGAACGGGUGAGUAAUAUAUCGGAACGUGCCCGGUCGUGGGGAUAACGUAGCGAAAGCUACGCUAAUACCGCAUACGAUCUACGGAUGAAAGCGGGGGGGUCGCAAGACCUCGCGCGAUUGGAGCGGCCGAUAUCAGAUUAGGUAGUUGGUGAGGUAAAGGCUCACCAAGCCGACGAUCUGUAGCUGGUCUGAGAGGACGACCAGCCACACUGGGACUGAGACACGGCCCAGACUCCUACGGGAGGCAGCAGUGGGGAAUUUUGGACAAUGGGCGCAAGCCUGAUCCAGCAAUGCCGCGUGCAGGAUGAAGGCC
rnacentral:rRNA from 1 species